GAACGCGUGGCGGCAGGCCUAACACAUGCAAGUCGAGCGGUAACAGAAAGAAAGCUUGCGUUUCUUUGCUGACGAGCGGCGGACGGGUGAGUAACGCGUGGGAAACCUGCCUUUGAGUGGGGGAUAACAGUUCUAACGAGCUGCUAAUACCGCAUGACGCUGUUGAUCGCAUGUUCAACAGUUAAAGAUGGCCUCUACAUGUAAGCUGUCGCUUAAAGAUGGUCCCGCGUCCUAUUAGCUAGUUGGUGAGGUAAUGGCUCACCAAGGCAACGAUCGGUAGCCGGCCUGAGAGGGUGAACGGCCACAUUGGGACUGAGACACGGCCCAGACUCCUACGGGAGGCAGCAGUGGGGAAUUUUGGGCAAUGGGGGAAACCCUGACCCAGCGACGCCGCGUGGAGGAUGACGGCCUUCGGGUUGUAAACUCCUGUCAGGUGGGAAGAAAAGCCAGUCGGUUAAUACCCGGCAGGAAUUGACGGUACUCUGCGAAUAAGGACCGGCUAACUACGUG
rnacentral:rRNA from 1 species